GGGGCUAAUACCGGAUGUGGUUAGUGAGACGCAUGUCUUAUUAAUUAAAGGAGCGAUCCGCUUAGAGAUGAACUUGCGGCCCAUUAGCUAGUUGGCGGGGUAAAGGCCCACCAAGGCAACGAUGGGUAGCCGGCCUGAGAGGGUGUACGGCCACAUUGGGACUGAGAUACGGCCCAGACUCCUACGGGAGGCAGCAGUAGGGAAUUUUGCGCAAUGGACGAAAGUCUGACGCAGCAACGCCGCGUGAGGGAUGACGGCCUUCGGGUUGUAAACCUCUGUUGGAUGGGAAAAAAAGGUAGCAAUACUUUGAUGGUACCAUUUGAGGAAGCACCGGCUAACUACGUGCCAGCAGCCGCGGUAAUACGUAGGGUGCAAGCGUUGUUCGGAAUCACUGGGCGUAAAGGGAGCGUAGGCGGGAUCGUAAGUUAGAAGUUUAAUACAUGGGCUUAACCCGUGGCUGGCUUUUAAUACUGCGGUUCUUGAGUGUGGGAGAGGGCGAUGGAAUUCCAGGUGUAGCGGUGGAAUGCGUAGAUAUCUGGAAGAACACCAGUAGCGAAGGCGGUCGCCUGGCCUAACACUGACGCUGAUGCUCGAAAGCUAGGGGAGCAAACAGGAUUAGAUACCCUGGUAGUCCUAGCCGUAAACGAUGAACACUAGUUGCCGGAGGAGUCAAUCUUUUUGGUGACGAAGCUAACGCAUUAAGUGUUCCGCCUGGGAAGUACGCUCGCAAGAGUGAAACUCAAAGGAAUUGACGGGGGCCCGCACAAGCGGUGGAGCAUGUGCUUUAAUUCGAUGCAACGCGAAGAACCUUACCUAGACUUGACAUGGGGGUGAAAUUCUGUAGAAAUAUGGAACCUUCCGCAAGGAACACCCUACACAGGUGCUGCAUGGUUGUCGUCAGCUCGUGUCGUGAGAUGUUGGGUUAAGUCCCGCAACGAGCGCAACCCUCGCCCUUAGUUGCUAACAGGUUAUGCUGAGAACUCUAAGGGGACCGCCUAGUUUAACUAGGAGGAAGGUGGGGAUGACGUCAAAUCCUCAUGGCCCUUACGUCUAGGGCUA
rnacentral:rRNA from 1 species